GAUGAACGCUAGCUACAGGCUUAACACAUGCAAGUCGAGGGGAAACGACAUCGAAAGCUUGCUUUUGAUGGGCGUCGACCGGCGCACGGGUGAGUAACGCGUAUCCAACCUGCCCAUCACUUGGGAAUAACCUUGCGAAAGUAAGACUAAUACCCAAUGAUAUCCCACGAAGGCAUCGGAAUGGGAUUAAAGAUUUAUCGGUGAUGGAUGGGGAUGCGUCUGAUUAGCUUGUUGGCGGGGUAACGGCCCACCAAGGCAACGAUCAGUAGGGGUUCUGAGAGGAAGGUCCCCCACAUUGGAACUGAGACACGGUCCAAACGCCUACGGGAGGCAGCAGUGAGGAAUAUUGGUCAAUGGGCGAGAGCCUGAACCAGCCAAGUAGCGUGCAGGAUGACGGCCCUAUGGGUUGUAAACUGCUUUUAUAAGGGAAUAAAGUGGGUCUCGUGAGACUUUUUGCAUGUACCUUAUGAAUAAGGACCGGCUAAUUCCGUG
rnacentral:rRNA from 1 species